rnacentral:sRNA from 1 species
GUAUCAGCCAACUCAAACCACACAUUCAUCGACACGACUUUCUGGGUGCCGUGCAUUUAACCAGUGCAAGGUGGAAAGCGGGAUGGAUGGAGGCCAAAC